rnacentral:piRNA from 1 species
UGAACUUGUGAUUCUCCUGCGUCAGGCUCCU